rnacentral:rRNA from 1 species
AUUGAACGCUGGCGGCAGGCCUAACACAUGCAAGUCGAACGGUAACAGGGAUCAGCUUGCUGAUUCGCUGACGAGUGGCGGACGGGUGAGUAAUGUCUGGGAAACUGCCUGAUGGAGGGGGAUAACUACUGGAAACGGUAGCUAAUACCGCAUAACGUCGCAAGACCAAAGAGGGGGACCUUCGGGCCUCUUGCCAUCGGAUGUGCCCAGAUGGGAUUAGCUAGUAGGUGGGGUAACGGCUCACCUAGGCGACGAUCCCUAGCUGGUCUGAGAGGAGGACCAGCCACACUGGAACUGAGACACGGUCCAGACUCCUACGGGAGGCAGCAGUGGGGAAUAUUGCACAAUGGGCGCAAGCCUGAUGCAGCCAUGCCGCGUGUAUGAAGAAGGCCUUCGGGUGGUAAAGUACUUUCAGCGGGGAGGAAGGGAGUAAAGUUAAUACCUUUGCUCAUUGACGUUACCCGCAGAAGAAGCACCGGCUAACUCCGU